GAGUUUGAUCGUGGCUCAGAAUGAACGCUGGCGGCGUGCCUAAUACAUGCAAGUCGUGCGGCAGCAUGCCCUUCGGGGUGAUGGCGAGCGGCGGACGGCUGAGUAACGCGUAGGAAUCUACCCCAAAGUGAGGGAUAACUCCGGGAAACCGGAGCUAAUACCGCAUAUGGUCUUCGGAUUAAAGCUUCGGCGCUUUGGGAAGAGCCUGCGUUCGAUUAGCUUGUUGGUGAGGUAAUGGCUCACCAAGGCGACGAUCGAUAGCUGGUCUGAGAGGAUGACCAGCCAGACUGGAACUGAGACACGGUCCAGACUCCUACGGGAGGCAGCAGUAAGGAAUAUUACACAAUGGGGGAAACCCUGAUGUAGCAACGCCGCGUGCAGGAUGAAGGCCUUC
rnacentral:rRNA from 1 species